rnacentral:rRNA from 1 species
UUUAGAACGUCGUGAGACAGUUCGGUCCCUAUCUGCCGUGGGCGCUGGAGAACUGAGGGGGGCUGCUCCUAGUACGAGAGGACCGGAGUGGACGCAUCACUGGUGUUCGGGUUGUCAUGCCAAUGGCACUGCCCGGUAGCUAAAUGCGGAAGAGAUAAGUGCUGAAAGCAUCUAAGCACGAAACUUGCCCCGAGAUGAGUUCUCCCUGACUCCUUGAGAGUCCUGAAGGAACGUUGAAGACGACGACGUUGAUAGGCCGGGUGUGUAAGCGCAGCGAUGCGUUGAGCUAACCGGUACUAAUGAACCGUGAGGCUUAACCUUACAACGCCGAAGCUGUU